AACUUUCGGCAACGGAUCUCUUGGUUCUGGCAUCGAUGAAGAACGCAGAGAGAUGCGAUAAGUAAUGUGAAUUGCAGAAUUCAGUGAAUCAUCGAAUCUUUGAACGCACAUUGCGCCCCGUGGUAUUCCGCGGGGCAUGCCUGUUCGAGCGUCAUUAUGACCAAUCCCGUUCUGCGGGGUCUUGGGCACCGCCUCCGGGCGGGCCUCAAAACCAGUGGCGGUCCGGCCGGGCUCUGAGCGUAGUAAAUCUUCUCGCUAUAGGGUCCCGGGCGGCACUGGCCAGCAACCCCCAAUCUUUCACAGGUUGACCUCGGAUCAGGUAGGGAUACCCGCUGAACUUAAGCAUAUCAAUAAGCGGAGGCU
rnacentral:misc_RNA from 1 species